GGGCUGGUGAGUGUUCCUCUGCCAGUAUAGAAACCGAUCAGGCUAGCAAAGCGUGGACAGAAUACCUCCUCUUUCUAACACUCUAACAACUUGAUUUUACUAUCAAUAAUUUUGUUCUCUUCUAUCAAUUCUUCACAUUUUCUUUAUAAUUCCCAUCUAGCUCUUUCUCCUCUUUGCAAUCUAUACUAAUUCUUCCUGCUUCCUCACAUACUAUUAAAUCUACAUUUUCAUCUACAUUAAUCCUCUUACCUUUGCCUAUUAACCAACUUUUUUGCAAUCUGUUAUAUCAUUUUCUUACCUAUUUUUUGCAUAGUUGAGUAAGUUGUUCCCAACCAACAACAUAUCUUUUUCAUUAAAUCUUAUCUAUUUCGUUCCCUAUUCUCAAUUCUGAUGUUACCAAAAUCCCCCUUAAGAUGUAUAACUUUCAUUAAGCAUAUUUGUAAGAUUAAACUUGGCAAACCACUGGCUAUUUGGUCCAGAUGCUAGUUUUCAUAUGAUCAAGGUCCAUUAAUCAUUUUCCCACUUCUGGUUUGCAGUUUUGUGACUGAAAGUGGAAAUAGUGGCAUGCUGAAGGCCAGGUUGUAGGUUCAAGGCUGAAAUGGCUUUAUAGAGGGACUUCCUAGUCAUAGCUAUCACUCUGCAUUUUAGUUAACCUAAGAGCCUGCUCUUUCCAUUCAUUUUAUUAUUACUAUCAUUGGAGAGAGAGAGAGAGAGCCCUUCAUUUCAUUUUGAAUAACCUCUUGUUUUUCUUUUAUUUCUCUGCCCCAGUACUGUAUAACAAACAACAUUUUUAUCAUUUUUGCCGCCUCUCCACUCCCUACUUACCAUUUUUCUCUUCCCUCCCAUCUGCUAGGAUUGAUUGGCAAGUUUAUUCACAUUUAUUUAAAACACUUAUUCAUGAGAAUAGGGCUGGCCUUGUGUGGAUAUUAUACAGUACUAGAAAUGAUUAUAUGCAGAUUGGAGCGAGUAAGGGGGAGUUUUUAUCUAUCUAUGUAGCAUUUGUUUUUCAGCCCUUCCAAAUUUUGAAAAUCAAUAGCAUCACUAAUAACUUUAAGUAUAUUUCUAUUUUUAUUUCAAAACUGAACUGAGAUAGUCCCUCCCUGAAAAAAGUAAUUCAAUCAAUGAAAGUUAGUGGGUACAAAAGCCUUGUUUUUGUUGUUAUUCUCAGAAUGCAGAUUUGCUUAAAGAUGUGAGCUUUUAAGAAAUUUCUCAUGCAGGAUGCGUUUUCAUAAUACCAAAUGAAAUAAUUUGUUCUUUAUGAAAUAAGAGCUUGAGGGAGUAGCAGUACUAACAAGCCCAGUUGAGUUCUUUUUCUGUUUACAGAAACAAAGUCAGAGAUAUUGCUAAAUUUGGGGAAAAUAUAACAAAGCAGACUGAUCCAUUAAACCCAGCUGACUAAACCUUUCAAAAGACUAUGUGACAGCUCUGCACUUAGCUGUGAGAAGGUAAAACCAUAGAUGCUAUGGGGAGGAACUUAAGUUUCUACCUCCUCUCAAUCAUUUUAAUUGUAACCAAGCCACAUAUGUCCUGGUUCACACAUUACAUGAACACGUGUUAGCCUGUGUAACCAUGGAGAUACGGCAUUUGGACUCUUUGAUCAAGAUUCCAUUGAAUACCACAGAGAUUCUGUGUCCAGGGCAGCUGUUUAUCAGCUCCAUCUGGUACGCAGGCUGAGACCCUACCUGCCCACAGACUGUCUUGCCAGAGUGGUGCAUGCUCUAGUUAUCUCUUGCUUGGACUACUGCAAUGUGCUCUAUGUGGGGCUAUCUUUGAAGGUGAUCCAGAAACUACAACUAAUCCAGAAUGCGGCAGCUAGACUGGUGACUGGGAGCGGCUGCCGAGAUCUUGAAAGACCCACACUGGCUCCCAGUACGUUUCCGAGCACAAUUCAAAGUGUUGGUGCUGACCUUUAAAGCCCUAAACGGCCUCGGUCCAGUAUACCUGAAGGAGCGUCUCCACCUCCAUCGUUCUGCCCGGACACUGAGGUCCAGCGCCGAGGGCCUUCUGGUGGUUCCCUCGCUGCGAGAAGCCAAGUUACAGGGAACCAGGCAGAGGGCCUUCUUGGUAGUGGCACCUGCCCUGUGGAACACCCACCAGAUGUCAAGGAGAAAAAUAACUACCAAACUUUUAGAAGACAUCUGAAGGCAGCCCUGUUUAGGGAAGCUUUUAAUGUUUCAUAGGUUAUUGUAUUUUAGUGUUUUGUUGGAAGCCGCCCAGAGUGGCUGGGGAAACCCAGCCAAAUGGGUGGGGUAUAAAUAAUAAACUAUUAUUAUUAUAAAUUAUUGUGCCUGAGCAGGGAAAGUACCAAAUGCAAUGUUACAGAGUACUUAGUUAUUACAAGGUUAUAUGCAAACUCAAAUUGCCUGGGACACUAUCUUAUACUUUGUUUCAAUGAUACAGAUAGAAAUAACUGAAAGUCUAAUAGUUGGGGCGGCAAACAAUCUGGAAGGGUAAAAUGAAGGCCUAUAUACACCAGAGCAGAGGCUGCCAAACUUUUGGGACUUAUGAGCAUAUUUGAAAUUUUGAGAAAGUUCUAUGUACCCUCCCCUCGGGUUGCUUAUAUUUGUUGGCUAUUUGCAGUAUGGUAGCGCUGCAGAGAGCUUGCUGGGGAGACCAUGCAUUAAAAAGGGACUCAAAAAUAACUUAAACAAGGUUUUAAUAACAAAAACCAAAACUCCUUAUACACUAAAUACAUCAACAAACCAGACCCAACCACCAACCCAUCCCCCAGGGUACUGGGAGAGCUAGGUGCUGCUCCUUAUAUACUACACCCAAUUGCUGACACAGCUUAAUCAACACAACUCAGCAGCACCUGCUAUGCUCCACAGCUGCAAAGCUGGGUUUCGUUAUUUUGCUCUGGCCCUUGCUCUGGCCCCUUAAAGACAUACACAUCGGGUGGAACAAUGAUGAACCUUUACAUUUAAAGAAACAAUUCAACAAUAUCACCUGUGGCCCAGGUCACUCUCUGCUCCACUGAAAGGCAGAAAAAAAGAGAUUGCUCAUGCACAUACACUAAUUCUUUGCUUUUCCAUAGGGACUUGACAACAGUUGAACCAGUUAUUUAAAAAUAUCACUUGAAUUUGCAUGAUUUUACACAGGGUACCUCUCAUGUAACUCCCACCUCCCCAUACACCCUCCAACAAAUUAAAGGUUAUAAUGGUAGACUGCAAACAAAACAAAAAUCAUGGAUCUAGUACUAUCUCUAUUAAUUUUUUUUGAUAUCUAGUAUUCAAGUUCUUUAUUUUACUGUUUAAUAUUGUAUUGAAUUGAUUCUUUCCUGUAUCCUGUCUUGCUAUUUUAUAACAAAAGGCAGUCUAUACACAUUUUAAUAAAUAAAUGCGAGGAAUUCCCGACAGCUAUCAUCACUUUGUGCGUUGAAGGCAAAUGCUGGCCUCAGGAGUAUCCCAGUUUCUUUAGGGAAGCCACAGUAGGAAAUCGAACUGCUCCCAAAUUGCUAACAUAAACUGACUUACCUUGAAAUGGAAGUAAGAUGCUCCAUGCCAUGAUUUAAUAGUUAUAAAGCUGAACAUCUAUUUACACGUUUUAUAACAGCUUGCAUGCCAUUUGUGUGUGUAUUAAUGUUCUAAGACAUAAAGUGAAUAUUCUUAAUGUUGAAUUCUUAAUGCGAGCUGAAGUGAAGACAGCUCCUAAUGUACCUAAACUGGAGGCAAGGUGGAGUGGGGAAGUUCCAGCUACUUUGACAAGAAAAUAGAUUAAUGUUUGUUGUUUAAGCCAGACUUCCUUUUCUUCCAAUAGUUUUUCUAUCUAGAAAAUUCUGUAGUUUAGAAGAACUUGAGGUUUCAAACGGAAGGAUAAUAUAAAGAUUAACCAUAGUCUUUUCUCCUUCCUAUCAUAUCUCGAAAAUGAAACUGGCUUAAAUGGCAUUCUCUAAAAUCUAAUAAUUAUUGUAAUAAAGAAUACUUUAUUUCAGUAAAAAACAAAACAAAUUGAAUGUAAAAUUGUGUGUGUGUGUGUGUGAGAGAGAGAGAGAGAGAGAGAGAGAAUGAGAGUGUGUGACAGAUACUAAGCCUCAUUAAAUCAGAAUUCUAAAGAGGGCCCUAUCUUUUAAAGGCAGAGCAGGUAUUGUCCUGAUGAGUUGGGGGCAGCCCACCAAUUGGCAGGCCCAUUGGGUGAUAAAUGUCCUAAGGCCCCAAGGCUGAGGACACAUUUUUCAUCAUUAAUCUAUCCCAUUGUGAACUGGUCCACUCACAUUGAUUCCAACUAGGGGGCAUCAUCUGCUGUUAAAAGGGUGAUGACUCGCUAAAAAUGAAGGCCUGAAACUAAUCACGUAUAGUUAGAGCCUUUGCUGGCAGCUUGCUUAGAUAGCUGUAGGGUACUAAUAGGAAAGCACUAGACAUUUGGGCAGACACUUCUCAGCUUUGUAUGGGAAUGCAGUAGGCCCCUUUGAAAGCACAUCAUGCGAUUUUAGCUAUUGAUGAAUAAAAUACUACUGAGAUAAAUCCUUGGUCUUGUGUUAUUUUUUUGUUCUCUUGCUGGCUGCCUUUGCAGUAAUAAAAAUACAAAAUAAAACAGUAGGAUUCUUAAACAUAAUGCAGUGCCCAGCCUGUCAAGCUAGGAUCAUACUAAAUGAUUCACUUACAAAGAAUUUCCUUUGCAAAAAUCCUUGUCACACUGUCUAAUUCGUCUGUCUGUCUCUCUGGGUUUCAGUGUAGCCUCUUAUUUAUCUAAGGGCCUUGCUACUCCUGUGUGCAAGUAACACAGGUGCUUGCCUUUGCCUUUGAUGUUGCUUAUUAAUUUAUACCAGCUGGGAUGUUAAAAAAAAGUUCUCAUUCAGUUUGAGCUUCCAGUAAAGCUGUUGAUGCAGUACUGUUGAAUCCAAGUUGUAUUUUUCUGCUGUAAUGGAAAUGGGUAAGAUUUUUAUUUGGUUAUUUUUCUUGUCUUAACCAUGGCCCUAACUUU
rnacentral:lncRNA from 1 species